rnacentral:misc_RNA from 1 species
UGUGGGAGCUGGCUUGCCUGCGAUGGCGUCGUGUCAGGCGACAUCUGUAGUGGCUGUGCUGGCGCUAUCGCAGGCAAGCCAGCUCCCACA